GUCCUGAUAUAAGACUUGUCUCUUGAUUUUAUCUGGUUUGUUUUUCCAUAAGAACUGGAAAAGUAGCGAUUGGAUUACAGAUGCGUAAUUAUUUGGAAUGUCAAGCAUGGAAGUCGAAUAAACAAUUUGAGAUAAUCCUAGGGUUUUCGAAAUCAAGCACCGUCCAAACAGAGAGAGUUUACACGAACGCCAAGCUGCAAGUUUUGUCUUGAGAUUAUUCACCUUCUUAGCAAAGUUUUUCCGUUCAUUGCUAACACUAUCAUACGAAAUAAAGGUCCCCAAGACUUUCACCGGUUCAUUGGUCCAGGCUAGACCCAGAGAGUUAAUUCAGCUACGGGAGGAAAACAGUUAACUUUGUGAUGAGAUAGCAAUGCUCAGAGUGCAGCUUGAUUCUUCCUCGAAAAACCAGCCAGUUCCAUCAGCUGAAGUAUUGCAUUACAUGAGGGAUGUUUUAGCAGCCAGUACAACUGAUGGAAUGCAACUCUUCCUUGAACUUCCUGAUGUUGCAAUUUAAGAGUACACCAUUCCAGCAAACCUGGAACCACGACCUAGCCAGGCCCCACAAGAUACUGUAAAGCUUUUGGAGACGAGCAAAGCAUCGCACAGAGUGGGCAUGCAAAGGAUGGACUGCACCUUCUCAGAAAGUUGAUCCCCCUAGUGUUCCCAACAGAAGUACUGCUGGCAAGGAAUUGGCAAAGGAGGCAAAGUAGGCAAUGAAGGCAAGUGACCCUUGGUUCAACAGAAAGUUAAUGCCUGUAAGGAUUAUUUCACAGUCUUCUGCAUUCAGAAUAACAAAGAUCCACCAAGCAAAAAAGAUAUUAAUGAAGCCUUCAGGCAGCAAGUGACCUGCGCCCAAACAAAGCUCAAUGCCAAAGCCAGUUGCUGUAGUGUCAGCGGUAACUGAUCAACAUGACUACAUUGGGGCAAAAUAUUAACUGAAGUUUCCAAGACAUCAGUCGUUUAGUACGCCUUUACAAGAACAGUAAGGGAUUAUCCACAAAGGGAACAUUAUAAGCUUUAGUGAUAUUUUAUAAGUAAAACUUUGUAAAUUCUGGUACGUAGAAAUUACUGGCAAAAGGUCUGAUCAUUGACCCUGUCGGAACAUGGUGCGUCAUAUAUUGAUUCGUAGCAGGGAACCAUUGAAAUAUCGAAGAAAAAUUAACAAAAUCAGAGGAGUAAAAGGUACCUCGUUUUUAGUUAAUCUUUCAAAUCAAUUUGUUCAAACUUUUUUGAAUUAACUGAAUAGACAAAGUUAUUUGCCGCAUUGUAACGACUUGUAACGUGAUACAGAUGCCAUGGACUUUCCUGGUGUAUCUUAUAUCAAUAUGCAUGUAUUUACAUUAUUUACAUAAAAAGGAGUGGAUUUGUGAUUUGUGAUGUUUGAUUUCAAAUUAGCCUGAAAUAAAAUAUGCUUUUACAGUGUGGUGAAGCACUUUAUUUUUA